GAACGCUAGCUACAGGCUUAACACAUGCAAGUCGAGGGGCAGCAUGGUCUUAGCUUGCUAAGGCCGAUGGCGACCGGCGCACGGGUGAGUAACACGUAUCCAACCUGCCGUCUACUCUUGGACAGCCUUCUGAAAGGAAGAUUAAUACAAGAUGGCAUCAUGAGUCCGCAUGUUCACAUGAUUAAAGGUAUUCCGGUAGACGAUGGGGAUGCGUUCCAUUAGAUAGUAGGCGGGGUAACGGCCCACCUAGUCUUCGAUGGAUAGGGGUUCUGAGAGGAAGGUCCCCCACAUUGGAACUGAGACACGGUCCAAACUCCUACGGGAGGCAGCAGUGAGGAAUAUUGGUCAAUGGGCGAGAGCCUGAACCAGCCAAGUAGCGUGAAGGAUGACUGCCCUAUGGGUUGUAAACUUCUUUUAUAAAGGAAUAAAGUCGGGUAUGCAUACCCGUUUGCAUGUACUUUAUGAAUAAGGAUCGGCUAACUCCGUGCCAGCAGCCGCGGUAAUACGGAGGAUCCGAGCGUUAUCCGGAUUUAUUGGGUUUAAAGGGAGCGUAGAUGGAUGUUUAAGUCAGUUGUGAAAGUUUGCGGCUCAACCGUAAAAUUGCAGUUGAUACUGGAUAUCUUGAGUGCAGUUGAGGCAGGCGGAAUUCGUGGUGUAGCGGUGAAAUGCUUAGAUAUCACGAAGAACUCCGAUUGCGAAGGCAGCCUGCUAAGCUGCAACUGACAUUGAGGCUCGAAAGUGUGGGUAUCAAACAGGAUUAGAUACCCUGGUAGUCCACACGGUAAACGAUGAAUACUCGCUGUUUGCGAUAUACAGCAAGCGGCCAAGCGAAAGCGUUAAGUAUUCCACCUGGGGAGUACGCCGGCAACGGUGAAACUCAAAGGAAUUGACGGGGGCCCGCACAAGCGGAGGAACAUGUGGUUUAAUUCGAUGAUACGCGAGGAACCUUACCCGGGCUUAAAUUGCAGAUGAAUUACGGUGAAAGCCGUAAGCCGCAAGGCAUCUGUGAAGGUGCUGCAUGGUUGUCGUCAGCUCGUGCCGUGAGGUGUCGGCUUAAGUGCCAUAACGAGCGCAACCCUUGUUGUCAGUUACUAACAGGUUCCGCUGAGGACUCUGACAAGACUGCCAUCGUAAGAUGUGAGGAAGGUGGGGAUGACGUCAAAUCAGCACGGCCCUUACGUCCGGGGCUACACACGUGUUACAAUGGGGGGGUACAGAGGGCCGCUACCACGCGAGUGGAUGCCAAUCCCAAAAACCUCUCUCAGUUCGGACUGGAGUCUGCAACCCGACUCCACGAAGCUGGAUUCGCUAGUAAUCGCGCAUCAGCCACGGCGCGGUGAAUACGUUCCCGGGCCUUGUACACACCGCCCGUCAAGCCAUGGGAGCCGGGGGUACCUGAAGUGCGUAACCGCGAGGAGCGCCCUAGGGUAAAACUGGUGACUGGGGCUAAGU
rnacentral:rRNA from 1 species